AAGGAAACAAAAUUAGCAGAGCACAUUUUUUACUUUUACGUCUUCAGUCAGUUUGUAUGUCGUAUGUUCAGAUCAAAGGAGUCCCAGUCAGUAGCAGCAGCAGCCAAAACGGGCAUAGGAAAUCUGCAGCUGUAGAUCAGUAGCAGAGGUCGAUAAACCAAGCCGGUAAAGUGCCAGACGCAUUCCUACCACAAAGCCAGUCCAAAGUUACGGGCAAUGUACAAAUGUGCCAGCCUUUCCCGGUUAUAAACAAACGAUUCUCAAAGCAUUUUUACUUACAAUCAAACGAAGAAACACGAUUGUGUAGAAAACUGGAAAUAUAUACAUAUACAAUAUAUAUAUCUAAUGCAUAUUGUGCCUGAGAUUGUGUUCUAGAUUACUACAAAAGGAACAGUGAAAACAUAGUUGAUCAUUAAACUUAAAGUUUUCGAUAACAAAAGUGCAUAUUUAUCUGAGAAUAUUCAGUUCGGCAUAAAAUCUACGUCAUCACUAACUUAUAAUCUCUCGAGGUACAGCCACAAUUUUGUGCUCUUGAAAACUGUUCAGGCAUCCAAUUAUUGGAUAAAUUU